GUCCUACGGGACGCAGCAGUGGGGGAUAUUGCACAAUGGGGGGAACCCUGAUGCAGCGACGCCGCGUGGGUGAAGGAGCGUUUCGGCGCGUAAAGCCCUAUCGGCAGGGAAGAAGGAGGACGGUACCUGACUAAGAAGCCCCGGCUAACUACGUGCCAGCAGCCGCGGUAAUACGUAGGGGGCAAGCGUUAUCCGGAUUUACUGGGUGUAGAGGGAGCGUAGACGGCAGUGCAAGUCCGGAGUGAAAGCCCGGGGCUCAACCCUGGGACUGCUCUGGAAACUGUAAAGCUGGAG
rnacentral:rRNA from 1 species